UGUAAAAUGUUUCACUCUAUUUUCUGCGCGCAAAAGUCGCCGGACGACAAGUUUCUAAACAUAGCCAUGUUGAGAAAUACAGAGAGAAUUUUGUGGAGCUGACAAUCUUAUUUAGCUUUGUAUCAACUCAUUUGGCAAUGGCUUGAAUGCAA